UAGGGAAUCUUGCGCAAUGGGGGAAACCCUGACGCAGCGACGCCGCGUGCGGGAUGAAGGCCUUCGGGUCGUAAACCGCUUUCAGCAGGGACGAAAUUGACGGUACCUGCAGAAGAAGGCCCGGCCAACUACGUGCCCGCAGCCGCGGUGAUACGUAGGGGUCUAGCGUUGUCCGGAAUUAUUGGGCGUAAAGAGCUCGUAGGCGGUUCGGCAAGUCGGAUGUGAAAUCUCCACGCUUAACGUGGAGGGGCCAUUCGAAACUGCCGUGACUCGAGUCCGGUAGGGGAGUGCGGAAUUCCCGGUGUAGCGGUGAAAUGCGCAGAUAUCGGGAGGGACACCAGUGGCGAAGGCGGCACUCUGGGCCGGAACUGACGCUGAGGAGCGAAAGCGUGGGGAGCGAACAGGAUUAGAUACCCUGGUAGUCCACGCCGUAAACGUUGGGGCACUAGGUGUGGGGGCUCUAUCGACGGGUUCCGUGCCGUAGCUAACGCAUUAAGUGCCCCGCCCGGGGAGUACGGCCG
rnacentral:rRNA from 1 species